GAUGAACGCUGGCGGCGUGCCUAAUACAUGCAAGUCGAGCGAACAGACGAGGAGCUUGCUCCUCUGACGUUAGCGGCGGACGGGUGAGUAACACGUGGAUAACCUACCUAUAAGACUGGGAUAACUUCGGGAAACCGGAGCUAAUACCGGAUAAUAUAUUGAACCGCAUGGUUCAAUAGUGAAAGACGGUUUUGCUUUCACUUAUAGAUGGAUCCGCGCCGCAUUAGCUAGUUGGUAAGGUAACGGCUUACCAAGGCGACGAUGCGUAGCCGACCUGAGAGGGUGAUAGGCCACACUGGAACUGAAACACGGUCCAGACUCCUACGGGAGGCACCAGUAGGGAAUCUUCCGCAAUGGGCGAAAGCCUGACGGAGCAACGCCGCGUGGGUGAUGAAGGUCUUCGGAUCGUAAGACUCUGUUAUUAGGGAAGAACAAAUGUGUAAGUAACUAUGCACGUCUUGACGGUACCUAAUCAGAAAGCCACGGCUAACUACGUG
rnacentral:rRNA from 1 species